UCGAAAGAAAACAAGCCCUUAGAGGUUUCUCCAAGCGGCUCAGCCCAGGGAAUUUGGAACAUGUCGUUUCGUCAGUGAUCUUGAGGAAUCGCGGAAAGGCUCUCGAACUGACAGUAUUGAUCAAGCUCUGCACAAUGCGUCGCCAGGCAUUCUAGCAUAUUCCCAGAGCCAGAACAGCUCAAAUCAUUGGCUCAUACCCCGAUGAAGGAGUGCUGUUUCCGUCUUGUGGGACCAUGAUAAGUCCUGGAUCAGUGCCAGUAUGCCAAGGAGAGACUGAAGCCAUGGGGCUGGGGCGAGCGGGUUUGAAACCCCGUCCAAUCCCUGCUCUGAUGAGCAUGGCUAUACGAAGGGAGCCAAUGAGGAGAAAAAUGCCUGGAAAUCUAAGGAUGCCCGGUGCAGGACUAGAGCGAUGUGUUUCCUUUUAUGACGUGCAGGAAACCGGAAAUUAGGAUGCAAGACCUCUUCUCUUCUGAGGCGAGUGGUGUGGUUUGCGGAAUCCGCUGUGCUGGAGGAAGGCUUGUCUAGCUCAGCCAUUGGUAGGACAAGAGUCGCACAAUCAUAGCGGCUACGUGCUACACUGCAGCCAGCAACAGCGUCUUAUGAUGGCUUGCCCAAGUAUUCAAUAAUUGAGAGGUAUGUUGAACAAGAUUGAUUGCGGUUUGUGGUUUAUGUGGUUAUUGAUGCACUUAGUUUUUUUAGACUCCUUGUUACUUUGGGAGUUGAAUCUACAACUCGGUUCUUGAAAUACUGAAAAUUCAGCCCGACUGACAGUCAGACUCUAACACUAGCCUAACACUUCUUAUUCAUGACUAAUUUUGGAUCUAUGUGUUGCUUCUGAUGCA